UACAGAGGGUGCGAGCGUUAAUCGGAAUUACUGGGCGUAAAGCGCACGUAGGUGGCGACGUAAGUCGGGUGUGAAAGCCCCGGGCUCAACCUGGGAAUUGCAUUCGAGACUGCAUUGCUGGAGUACGGAAGAGGAAGGCGGAAUUCCCGGUGUAGCGGUGAAAUGCGUAGAUAUCGGGAGGAACAUCAGUGGCGAAAGCGGCCUUCUGGUCCAGUACUGACACUCAAGUGCGAAAGCGUGGGGAGCAAACAGG
rnacentral:rRNA from 1 species